rnacentral:tRNA from 1 species
GCGGGAAUAGCUCAGUUGGUAGAGCAUCUGCUUCCCAAGCAGAGGGUCGCGGGUUCGAGUCCCGUUUCCCGCU